CAGUAUUUUUCUGAUUUAAUAAUAUUUUAAUAACUGACGCUGCAUUUAAUUUUUUUGCCAGUUUAAAAUGUUUGUGUGUUUUUAUAGAUGAUUUUAACUGGUACAUAUUUUGAGUUAAGUUGAAUGUAUGAAAGCAGCAUCUUAUCAGUUUUGUUUAUUCGAUUUCUAAAAUGUGCUGAUCCUUUUAAAACUCCUGCUUAUCUCUGCAACAAAGAAAAAUAUUCAAAAAUACUGCCUUCAUUUUCACACACAGUGCUGAAGAUGCUGCAAGCACCAAAUCAUAGCUCAUAAAAUCAGGUCCUGAGAUAGUUACCCAUAAAGAGGAAUCCUUUGAGUGUAUGCCAUUGGUGAGCCGAUGAGCAUGGACCAUAGAAGGGCUCAAUGUAGAAGAAACUACCCGUGUGUAAAAAGAAGAUUGGCUUAAAAUGGCUACUGUGAUGGGAACAGUGUCUUAGGGAGAUGCAGCUUGGACUUGAGGUAAAUUGAAUACUUUACAACUGUGGUUUAGAGUUUGCUUUAAUGACAUUGUAUGUAAAAGGUCACAUGAUUGCUGUAAUUUUGUAUUCAUUAUGGUUUCCUCAAUAAAUGUACAUUGAUGACUAUUA
rnacentral:lncRNA from 1 species